rnacentral:rRNA from 1 species
CAGCCGCCGCGGUAAUACGGAGGGUGCAAGCGUUAAUCGGAAUUACUGGGCGUAAAGCGUGCGUAGGCGGCUUCUUAAGUCGGAUGUGAAAUCCCUGAGCUUAACUUAGGAAUUGCAUUCGAUACUGGGAAGCUAGAGUAUGGGAGAGGAUGGUAGAAUUCCAGGUGUAGCGGUGAAAUGCGUAGAGAUCUGGAGGAAUACCGAUGGCGAAGGCAGCCAUCUGGCCUAAUGCUGACGCUGAGGUACGAAAGCAUGGGGAGCAAACAGGAUUAGAUACCCCAGUAGUCCCUGUCUCUUAUAC